rnacentral:rRNA from 1 species
UACGAAGGGGGCUAGCGUUGUUCGGAAUCACUGGGCGUAAAGGGCGCGUAGGCGGCCGAUCAAGUCGGGGGUGAAAGCCUGUGGCUCAACCACAGAAUGGCCUUCGAUACUGUUUGGCUUGAGACCGGAAGAGGUCAGUGGAACUGCGAGUGUAGAGGUGAAAUUCGUAGAUAUUCGCAAGAACACCAGUGGCGAAGGCGGCUGACUGGUCCGGUUCUGACGCUGAGGCGCGAAAGCCAGGGGAGCAAACGGG